CCUACGGGAGGCAGCAGUAGGGAAUCUUUCACAAUGGGCGAAAGCCUGAUGGAGCAACGCCGCGUGCAGGAUGAAGGCCUUCGGGUUGUAAACUGCUUUUAUAAGCGAGAAAUAUGAUGGUAACUUAUGAAUAAGGAUCGGCUAACUACGUGCCAGCAGCCGCGGUCAUACGUAGGAUCCGAGCAUUAUCCGGAGUGACUGGGUGUAAAGAGUGUCGUAGGUGGCAUAAUAAGUAGCUAGUGAAAUCUGGUGGCUCAACCAUUCAGACUAUUAGCUAAACUGUUAAGCUCGAGACCGUUAGGGGUAACUGGAAUUUCUAGUGUAGGAGUGAAAUCCGUAGAUAUUAGAAGGAACACCAAUAGCGUAGGCAGGUUGCUGGGACGGUUCUGACACUAAGGCACGAAAGCGUAGGGAGCAAACGGGAUUAGAUACCCUUGUAGUC
rnacentral:rRNA from 1 species